GGGGCCGUCGUCUAGCCAGGCUAGGACUCCAGGCUCCAGACCUGGGUACGUGGGUUCGAAUCCCACCGGCCCCA
rnacentral:tRNA from 1 species